rnacentral:tRNA from 1 species
GAGUCCUUAGUUCAGUUGGCAGAACACCGGAUUCCAAAUCCGGAUGGUGAAGCAGGGAAUUCGAGCAGCAUGCUGCUCGCUUGCGUAACGGCAGUCGCUUGCAAGCGACUGCUCCGUUAGCCGAACGGCCGGAGGUUCGAUUCCUUCAGGGCUCG